UGCCAGCCGCCGCGGUAAUACGAAGGUCCCGAGCGUUAUUCGGAAUCACUGGGCGUAAAGGGAGCGUAGGCGGCGUGGUAAGUCAGAUGUGAAAGCCCAAGGCUCAACCUUGGAACUGCAUUCGAUACUGCCAUGCUAGAGUAGUGGAGAGGUAAAUGGAAUUUUGGGUGUAGCAGUGAAAUGCGUAGAUAUCCAAAGGAAGACCAAUGGCGAAGGCAAUUUACUGGACACUUACUGACGCUGAGGCUCGAAGGCUAGGGUAGCGAAAGGGAUUAGAUA
rnacentral:rRNA from 1 species